UACGUAGGGUGCGAGCGUUGUCCGGAAUUAUUGGGCGUAAAGAGCUUGUAGGCGGUUUGUCGCGUCUGCUGUGAAAAUCCGGGGCUCAACCCCGGACUUGCAGUGGGUACGGGCAGACUAGAGUGUGGUAGGGGAGACUGGAAUUCCUGGUGUAGCGGUGAAAUGCGCAGAUAUCAGGAGGAACACCGAUGGCGAAGGCAG
rnacentral:rRNA from 1 species